rnacentral:sRNA from 1 species
CUGACUCUGGAAGCUUUAUCUUGGGUAAAAGAUGUGUGAUCAGACCUUUCUCGUUAAUGUAUUUGGCUCAUGUGACAAAUGUUUCAAACAACGAGCUCUGAGACCAGUUUUCAAGAAGUCUCAACAACUCAGCUACUGUUCAACAUGUGCAGAAAUUAUGGCAACCGAGGGGCUGCACGAGAACGAGACGCUGGCGUCGCUGAAGAGCGAGGCCGAGAGCCUCAAGGGCAAGCUGGAGGAGGAGCGAGCCAAGCUGCACGAUGUGGAGCUGCACCAGGUGGCGGAGCGGGUGGAGGCCCUGGGGCAGUUUGUCAUGAAGACCAGAAGGACCCUCAAAGGCCAUGGGAACAAAGUCCUGUGCAUGGACUGGUGCAAAGAUAAGAGGAGGAUCGUGAGCUCGUCACAGGAUGGGAAGGUGAUCGUGUGGGAUUCCUUCACCACGAACAAGGAGCACGCGGUCACCAUGCCCUGCACGUGGGUGAUGGCAUGUGCUUAUGCCCCAUCGGGAUGUGCCAUUGCUUGUGGGUAAGUUGGAGCUACAGCAGCUUUUCAGAGUUUGUGUUAACCAUAGAAUACUGUUCUCUUGGCAAAAACAAACAAAUAAGAACUCACAGUUUUUGUUGUUUAAUUGUUUAGCAGUAUGCUAAAUCCUUCCCUGAACUUGAUCAAAGAAGAAACCAUAAGCCAGCACAGUGGUGCCUGCUUGUAAUCCCAGCCACCUGGGAGGCUGAGGUGGGAGGAUCACUUGAGCCCAGGAGUUCAAGUCCACCCUGGCAACAUAGCAAGACCCCAUCUCUUUAAAAAAAAAAA